rnacentral:rRNA from 1 species
GAAUCAGCUUGUGUGUUAGUGGAACGGUCUGGAAAGUCCGACGGUACAGGGUGAUAGUCCCGUACACGAAAAUGCACAUGCUGUGAACUCGAAGAGUAGGGCGGGACACGUGGUAUCCUGUCUGAAUAUGGGGGGACCAUCCUCCAAGGCUAAAUACUCCUGACUGACCGAUAGUGAACCAGUACCGUGAGGGAAAGGCGAAAAGAACCCCGGCGAGGGGAGUGAAAAAGAACCUGAAACCGUGUACGUACAAGCAGUGGGAGCACCUUCGGGUGUGACUGCGUACCUUUUGUAUAAUGGGUCAGCGACUUAUAUUCUGUAGCAAGGUUAACCGUAUAGGGGAGCCGAAGG